rnacentral:lncRNA from 1 species
GCGGACAUUAAUGGCUAUUCACCUAUCUGUCAGACCUAUAGACGUCGAUUAGGAGAUACCCGACGUCUAUAUAUAUGCCAGGCAGGUGAAAAAGUCAUUCCUUUCCGACAUAUAAACGACGGAUGCCUCCACACGACGUCUAUAAUCGUAUACAGGCGUCAUUGGCCUUAGUAGCCGACGUCUAUAAGCCCCGCGAAUAUUAAUUUUAAAAUCAUAAAGACGUCGAAUUAGUGAGGUC